rnacentral:rRNA from 1 species
UACGGGGGGGGUAAGCGUUGUUCGGAAUUACUGGGCGUAAAGAGCUUGUAGGCGGUUUGUCGCGUCUGCUGUGAAAAUCCGGGGCUCAACCCUGGGAUGCCGGUGGAUACUGUCGGGCUCGAGUCCGGAAGAGGCGAGUGGAAUUCCUGGUGUAGCGGUGAAAUGCGCAGAUAUCAGGAGGAACACCAAUGGCGAAGGCAGCUCGCUGGGACGUGACUGACGCUGAGACGCGAAAGCGUGGGGAGCAAACAGG